CCUCAACUAGACUUGUCUGGACAUGGGGACUUACCUGUCUAAAACAGCUGGGAGGGGCAGGAACAGAUGACGUCUCCUUUAAAUACUCUUCCCAUGAGAAAGACUCAGUCACUGCACAGAACAAAAACACACUUAGACACACAUAAAAUGCCAUCAAUAUACAACAAUCAUCAAAAAAAUCUGAAUAGGAGAAAGGUGAAAAAUAGAAUAUGGCUCAAAAUGAAUCAAAACGCUGCAGUUUUAUCCAAGGUCAGUGCCUCAGAUGACUCUAUGACCUGAGAGAGUGUGUGAGAGCAGGUUCUUACCUUUGACUGGUCCAGGACCUGUAAGAGACAUACUCCUGCCUGGCUUUUCCCUCCUAGCGUCUUUCUGAUCUGAAGAAGAAAAUAAUAUGCGG